CGAAACGCCUAAAACGCUUGCGUGAAAAAUCUGCGGUCUACCUUUCAGCCCAGAAUUCUAGGGUUUGUUCUCGUUCUAAGACGCCGCUAUUCGGGGUUGUUUCGUCGAUUUCUGAUUCCUCAGUCGGUUUUGAUCGAGGUUUUAGAGAAGAAGGGGAUUUUCGGAGGGGUACGUAACUUUUGGUGAAGAUCUUUAUAUUUGUGGCCAGACUGAAUGAACUAAUGGAGUCCAAA